UAGGGAAUCUUCCACAAUGGACGAAGUCUGAUGGAGCAACGCCGCGUGAGUGAUGAAGGGUUUCGGCUCGUAAAACUCUGUUGUUGGAGAAGAACGGGUGUCAGAGUAACUGUUGACAUCGUGACGGUAUCCAACCAGAAAGCCACGGCUAACUACGUGCCAGCAGCCGCGGUAAUACGUAGGUGGCAAGCGUUGUCCGGAUUUAUUGGGCGUAAAGCGAGCGCAGGCGGUUUUUUAGGUCUGAUGUGAAAGCCUUCGGCUUAACCGGAGAAGUGCAUCGGAAACCGGGAGACUUGAGUGCAGAAGAGGACAGUGGAACUCCAUGUGUAGCGGUGAAAUGCGUAGAUAUAUGGAAGAACACCAGUGGCGAAGGCGGCUGUCUGGUCUGCAACUGACGCUGAGGCUCGAAAGCAUGGGUAGCGAACAGGAUUAGAUACCCUGGUAGUCCAUGCCGUAAACGAUGAGUGCUAAGUGUUGGAGGGUUUCCGCCCUUCAGUGCUGCAGCUAACGCAUUAAGCACUCCGCCUGGGGGAGUACGACCGCAAGGUUGAAAC
rnacentral:rRNA from 1 species